GUCACCGGCCGGAUGGUCGCGAAACAGGGGAACGAGCCUUCAUGGCCACGCCCGUGUUCCGAGGAAAGUCCGGGCUCCAUAGGGCAGAUCGCCAGGUAACGCCUGGGCGCAUACGGCGUGAGCUGCAUGCGACGGACAGUGCAACAGAAAGCAAACCGCCGUCUUCGCGAGAAGGCGGUAAGGGUGAAAGGGUGGGGUAAGAGCCCACCGCGCGUCCGGCAACGGGCGUGGCUCGGUAAACCCCGGUCGGAGCAAGGCCAAAUAGGCGGUGAGAGACGGCCCGUCUCGACAGGAUGCUUUCGGGCAUCGAGCCGCGGGUAGGCUGCUGGAGCGUGUUGGUGACGACACGCCGAGAGGAAUGACCAUCCGGUGCACCUCGGUGUACCGACAGAACCCGGCUUACAGGCCGGUGACAUCC
rnacentral:RNase_P_RNA from 17 species